rnacentral:lncRNA from 1 species
UCUUGCCCUACUGGAACCCUUUGGCCGCCUUCUCACACACCCAUUUCUUUUAAUACAUCACCAAAUGCCUGAAACACACACUUCAUCCAUCGAUUUGCUCAUUCGUUCUAAACACACACUUCCCGCAUAGAUUUCCUUGAAGGUAAUGGGAUAAGCGAUGAACAGUAAUCCUCGUCCACAUUGCAGCGAUGUUGACAAGUGGGUUGUGGUGAUGGAAGCCUGCCGACGAUAGAAGAGAGAAAAGAGAAAGAUGCAUCUUCGGUUUGAUUCAAUGGAUUCUUCAAAGACAAAAUAGAGAGAGGCAAAAUACGGUGAAGGGUACGAUAAAAAUUCAUAUUACAGUGGAAGAUAUAUUUAGGUUUUGAGAUCGAUUUAAGAUUUGCAAAAAUCAAGAAAAAAUUUCAGGCUCAACAUUAGUUUAUUUUUUUCUCGCUCUAUCUCUUGUUUUACCGGAGAAUGGCAUGAGAUCCACCGCCAUUCUGCCGAAGUCCACCACCACCGCCACUCCACCACCCACCACACUCCUCACCUUAAACCUCAAUCUGCCCUUUUUCACCGUCUGAUUCCACCCAUGAUAUCCAAUCUAAAUGCACCAUCUUCGACUCCAUAUGUUAUGGGUAAACCACUUUAAUUGCUCUGGUUUGUUCCUUCCAGAAAAUCUCAAAAAUUGCAACCCCAAUUUAAGUUUUCGUUUGGGAUACACAUAAGAGAUCAGACAAGUAAGCGAGGGGGUAGGAUUUGAGGUAAUUACAACUGCUUCACUUUUGGUUUAAGAAUUCCUUCAUGUUGUUAGCGUACAUUUUGAUUUAAGGAUUUUUAAUUAGGUUUGAUUUCAUCCCCGACUAAUUGUAUUGAUUUUUCUCUAAUCUUGAUAGAUUGGAGAAGAUGAACCAAGAGAAGAUUGAUGGGUUGCUUUGAUAUUUGAUUCUGAUUUUGGGUAUUAUUGUUAGAAGACUGUAUUUGUGUUUUUGUUAGUAGACUGCAUUUAAUCGAUUAUAUAUGGGUUCUUUUUGUAAUUAGAUCCAUCAAGUUUAUGUUUACUUGUUCAUGAAUUGCUCUCAUAAGAUAAAGGACUGAUGAGUUGCAGGUAAAAUGAAUGAACUAAUGUGUUGAAACCUUGGAGGGAAUAUUGUUUUACCGGAGAAGGAUUGAGUGGUCCGGUGAGGUAUUUCCGAUAAGGAUAUAUGAAGGAGUUGGGAAGGAAGUAGUUGUGGGACCCAUCUCUUUUUAAUAAUAAAUAUUAAUAAUUAUUUAAAUAAUGAAAAAUAAAAAAAGAAAUGGAAAAGGGCAGUAUAGUCUUUUCAAGUCUAGUGAGGACUAAGCGCACAACAAAAAGAAACAAUAGAGACGGUCCAAGUUAAAAAAAGUUUUUUAAGGACCAAACGUGCAGAUUCCCCCAAAC